AGUGAACGCUGGCGGCGUGCUUAAGACAUGCAAGUCGAACGGUAGUCUUCGGACUGUAGUGGCGCACGGGUGAGUAACGCGUAACUGACCUACCCCAAAGUCGCGGAUAACGAUUCGAAAGAAUCGCUAAUACGUGAUGUGCUGUCAGAUUGUGUUCUGCCAGUAAAGAUUUAUUGCUUUGGGAUGGGGUUGCGUUCCAUCAGCUAGUUGGUGGGGUAAGGGCCCACCAAGGCGACGACGGAUAGCCGGCCUGAGAGGGUGGCCAGCCACAGGGGAACUGAGGCACGGGUCCCACUCCUACGGGAGGCAGCAGUUAGGAAUCUUCCACAAUGGGCGAAAGCCUGAUGGAGCGACGCCGCGUGAGGGAUGAAGGCCUUCGGAUCGUAAACCUCUGAAUCAGGGACGAAAGACACUUCGGUGGGAUGACGGUACCUGAGUAAUAGCACCGGCUAACUCCGUGCCAGCCGCCGCAGUAACAC
rnacentral:rRNA from 1 species